rnacentral:rRNA from 1 species
UACAGAGGUCCCAAGCGUUGUUCGGAUUCAUUGGGCGUAAAGGGUGCGUAGGUGGCAUGGUAAGUCGGGUGUGAAAUCCCGGGGCUCAACCCCGGAACUGCACUCGAUACUACCGUGCUCGAGUACUGGAGAGGAGACUGGAAUUUACGGUGUAGCAGUGAAAUGCGUAGAUAUCUGGAGGAACACCGGUGGCGAAGGCGGAUCUCUGGGCCUUACCUGACGCUCAGGCGCGAAAGCUAGGGGAGCGAACAGG